rnacentral:ncRNA from 1 species
UUAUCAAGAGUGGAGUAGAGAACGGCUCGUUGAUCCCACAGCAACCUAUCAAUAGACAAGGUGCUAAUACCGACAAAGCGAAUAGCUUUGAGUGAUGA